AGCAAGUGGGAAGAGGACAGGAAGGUCACGCAGUGGUCAAUCUUCUAAAGAUGGACAUGCCAGAAGCACAGACCCAGGCAGAACACACUGGCUGCACCCUUAAAAGGUCUCUGCUGCAAGAAUUCUUAGUGGGGGGUGGAUUUAAGCAUUCAGUACGUGAGCCAUGAACUCUGGAGAGCACUCCCCUAAGGUCAGCAGCACUGGGUAAGGCUCUGAGGAGCACAGUGUGGGAUGCACCUCAGAUCUCUUCAGAAGAAUUCCAGGAAAUCAAAUGGAUUUUAAGCCAGUAGACUGAUUACACAGCCACCAAGUCAUAAGGGUAAAACGCUCCAUAACUGUCCUCAAGAAUCCAUUAAAGCCCUGCCGAAA